rnacentral:misc_RNA from 1 species
GAGUUUAUGGACUUCGGUCUACUACUCCACCCUUUGUUUACAAUACCAUUGUUGCUUUGGCAGGCCCGUCGAAAGACAACCGGCUUUGGCUGGUCAGUGCCUGCCAGAGGACCUAAAACUCUUGAUUUAUUAUUGUCUGAGUACUAUAUAAUAGUUAAAACUUUCAACAACGGAUCUCUUGGUUCU